UACGUAGGGUGCGAGCGUUGUCCGGAAUUAUUGGGCGUAAAGAGCUUGUAGGUGGUUUGUCGCGUCUGCUGUGAAAAUCCGAGGCUCAACCUCGGACUUGCAGUGGGUACGGGCAGACUAGAGUGUGGUAGGGGAGACUGGAAUUCCGGGUGUAGUGGUGGAAUGCGUAGAGAUCCGGAGGAACACCAGCGGCGAAGGCGGCAUCCUGGACUGGUCCUGACACUCAGGAGCGAAAGCGUGGGGAGCGAUCCGG
rnacentral:rRNA from 1 species